rnacentral:rRNA from 1 species
GCGCAAUGGGCGAAAGCCUGACGCAGCGACGCCGCGUGGGGGAUGACGGCCUUCGGGUUAUAAACCUCUUUCGCCAGGGACGAAGCCUUCGGGUGACGGUACCUGGAUAAGAAGCACCGGCCAACUACGUGCCAGCAGCCGCGGUAACACGUAGGGUGCGAGCAUUGUCCGGAAUUAUUGGGCGUAAAGAGCUCGUAGGCGGUGUGUCACGUCGGCCGUGAAAACUUGGGGCUUAACUCUAAGCGUGCGGUCGAUACGGGCAUCACUUGAGUUCGGUAGGGGAGACUGGAAUUCCUGGUGUAGCGGUGAAAUGCGCAGAUAUCAGGAGGAACACCGGUGGCGAAGGCGGGUCUCUGGGCCGAUACUGACGCUGAGGAGCGAAAGCGUGGGGAGCGAACAGGAUUAGAUACCCUGGUAGUCCACGCCGUAAACGUUGGGCGCUAGGUGUGGGGACCAUUCCACGGUUUCUGUGCCGCAGCUAACGCAUUAAGCGCCCCGCCUGGGGAGUACGGCCGCAAGGCU